GCAGUUCCUCCUUAAGGUCAGAGAUUGCAGCAUCUGAGGGCCUCUUCAAAAGAAGACGUAGUUGUUGAAGGCGUUCUGGAGCAGGACCAGAAAGACCACGACCAAGCAGCCUUGAGAUCUUAGGCAGCAUCUCCCUCAGGUCCCUCUCUAUCUCCCCACACAUCCACCAACCACUGGAACACAUCUCCAAAGUUCUGCCGGGCCAGCUCAGCUUCCCCUCAGAAGAAGUUCCGCCAGAUGAAGGAGCCUUUUGAGAGGCAGCUGGCAUCGUGAUUGGACUGUACUUUGGUCUGUUCCAAUCCAGCUUCAGCUCCAGAGACGGCAGGCGGGACGAGUCAACGGAGGCCGGGUGGACGAAGGCAUGCAGCUGAGUACAAUCCAGAAAACAACAGAGGAGGAGUGCAGCGACCCAGGGCCAGAACAACCAGAGUAGCAUCGUAUGUUUCUUAGAAAACAUCAUAGUAUAGCCUUUGGUAUGAAAAAACGCCAUCAUAUACAUCGUAUAUUGUACAAAUAACAAGUCAAAGGAAAGAGACAUACAUUGGAGAAUUGUAGUAAUUGUGGGCUGACUGAUUUACUGAUUAUCAGUAUUUUAUUUUUUACUGAUUUACGGUAAUAAAUACAUUUAAAAAUGG